GCUAAUACCGCAUAAUGCCUACGGGCCAAAGAGGGGGACCUUCGGGCCUCUCGCGUCAAGAUAUGCCUAGGUGGGAUUAGCUAGUUGGUGAGGUAAUGGCUCACCAAGGCGACGAUCCCUAGCUGGUCUGAGAGGAUGAUCAGCCACACUGGAACUGAGACACGGUCCAGACUCCUACGGGAGGCAGCAGUGGGGAAUAUUGCACAAUGGGCGCAAGCCUGAUGCAGCCAUGCCGCGUGUAUGAAGAAGGCCUUCGGGUUGUAAAGUACUUUCAGCAGUGAGGAAGGGGGUGUCGUUAAUAGCGGCAUCUCUUGACGUUAGCUGCAGAAGAAGCACCGGCUAACUCCGUGCCAGCAGCCGCGGUAAUACGGAGGGUGCGAGCGUUAAUCGGAAUUACUGGGCGUAAAGCGCAUGCAGGUGGUUUGUUAAGUCAGAUGUGAAAGCCCGGGGCUCAACCUCGGAACUGCAUUUGAAACUGGCAAACUAGAGUACUGUAGAGGGGGGUAGAAUUUCAGGUGUAGCGGUGAGAUGCGUAGAGAUCUGAAGGAAUACCGGUGGCGAAGGCGGCCCCCUGGA
rnacentral:rRNA from 1 species